rnacentral:rRNA from 1 species
CCUACGGGAGGCUGCAGUGAGGAAUAUUGGUCAAUGGUCGGGGGACUGAACCAGCCAAGCCGCGUGAGGGAGGAAGGUACAGAGUAUCGUAAACCUCUUUUGUCAGGGAACAAAGGCGGGGACGUGUCCCCGGAUGAGUGUACCUGAAGAAAAAGCAUAGGCUAACUCCGUGCCAGCAGCCGCGGUAAUACGGAGGAUGCGAGCGUUAUCCGGAUUUAUUGGGUUUAAAGGGUGCGCAGGCGGUCUGUUAAGUCAGCGGUCAAACCCCGGGGCUCAACCCCGGCCCGCCGUUGAAACUGGCAGUCUCGAGUUGGAGAGAAGUAUGCGGAAUGCGCGGUGUAGCGGUGAAAUGCAUAGAUAUCGCGCAGAACUCCGAUUGCGAAGGCAGCAUGCCGGCUCCACACUGACGCUGAGGCACGAAAGCGUGGGUAUCGAACAGGAUUAGAUACCCUGGUAGUC